UAACACGUGGGCAAUCUGCCCUUCACUCUGGGACAAGCCCUGGAAACGGGGUCUAAUACCGGAUAACACUCUGUCCCGCAUGGGACGGGGUUAAAAGCUCCGGCGGUGAAGGAUGAGCCCGCGGCCUAUCAGCUUGUUGGUGGGGUAAUGGCCUACCAAGGCGACGACGGGUAGCCGGCCUGAGAGGGCGACCGGCCACACUGGGACUGAGACACGGCCCAGACUCCUACGGGAGGCAGCAGUGGGGAAUAUUGCACAAUGGGCGAAAGCCUGAUGCAGCGACGCCGCGUGAGGGAUGACGGCCUUCGGGUUGUAAACCUCUUUCAGCAGGGAAGAAGCGAAAGUGACGGUACCUGCAGAAGAAGCGCCGGCUAACUACGUGCCAGCAGCCGCGGUAAUACGUAGGGCGCAAGCGUUGUCCGGAAUUAUUGGGCGUAAAGAGCUCGUAGGCGGCUUGUCACGUCGGAUGUGAAAGCCCGGGGCUUAACCCCGGGUCUGCAUUCGAUACGGGCUAGCUAGAGUGUGGUAGGGGAGAUCGGAAUUCCUGGUGUAGCGGUGAAAUGCGCAGAUAUCAGGAGGAACACCGGUGGCGAAGGCGGAUCUCUGGGCCAUUACUGACGCUGAGGAGCGAAAGCGUGGGGAGCGAACAGGAUUAGAUACCCUGGUAGUCCACGCCGUAAACGUUGGGAACUAGGUGUUGGCGACAUUCCACGUCGUCGGUGCCGCAGCUAACGCAUUAAGUUCCCCGCCUGGGGAGUACGGCCGCAAGGCUAAAANUCAAAGGAAUUGACGGGGGCCCGCACAAGCAGCGGAGCAUGUGGCUUAAUUCGACGCAACGCGNNGAACNUU
rnacentral:misc_RNA from 1 species